rnacentral:rRNA from 1 species
GAUGAACGCUGACAGAAUGCUUAACACAUGCAAGUCAACUUGAACUUCGGUUUGGGUGGCGGACGGGUGAGUAACGCGUAAAGAACUUGCCUCACAGUUAGGGACAACAUUUGGAAACGAAUGCUAAUACCUGAUAUUAUGAUUUUAGGGCAUCCUAGAAUUAUGAAAGCUAUAUGCGCUGUGAGAGAGCUUUGCGUCCCAUUAGCUAGUUGGAGAGGUAACGGGUCACCAAGGCGAUGAUGGGUAGCCGGCCUGAGAGGGUGAACGGCCACAAGGGGACUGAGACACGGCCCUUACUCCUACGGGAGGCAGCAGUGGGGAAUAUUGGACAAUGGACCAAGAGUCUGAUCCAGCAAUUCUGUGUGCACGAUGAAGUUUUUCGGAAUGUAAAGUGCUUUCAGUUGGGAAGAAAAAAAUGACGAUACCAACAGAAGAAGUGACGGCUAAAUACGUG